UCCGAGUUGGUCUAGUGGUCAUGAUUUCCGCUUGUCACUGCAGUAACUUUGGUUCGCGGAACAAGCGCGGGAGACCGGGGUUCGAUUCCCCGACUCGGAG